CGAGUUUGAUCCUGGCUCAGGAUGAACGCUAGCGGCAGGCCUAACACAUGCAAGUCGAGGGGUAUAGUUCUUCGGAACUAGAGACCGGCGCACGGGUGCGUAACGCGUAUGCAAUCUACCUUUUACAGGGGAAUAGCCCAGAGAAAUUUGGAUUAAUGCCCCAUAGUGUUAUAGAAUCGCAUGGUUUUAUAACUAAAGUUCCAACGGUAAAAGAUGAGCAUGCGUCCCAUUAGUUAGUUGGUAAGGUAACGGCUUACCAAGACAAUGAUGGGUAGGGGUCCUGAGAGGGAGAUCCCCCACACUGGUACUGAGACACGGACCAGACUCCUACGGGAGGCAGCAGUGAGGAAUAUUGGACAAUGGGCGGCAAGCCUGAUCCAGCCAUGCCGCGUGCAGGAAGACGGUCCUAUGGAUUGUAAACUGCUUUUGUACAGGAAGAAACACUCCUCGUGAGGGAGCUUGACGGUACUGUAAGAAUAAGGAUCGGCUAACUCCGUG
rnacentral:rRNA from 1 species